rnacentral:rRNA from 1 species
AUAAGUGAAUUAAGGGUGUAUGGGGGAUGCCUAGGCUCUUGAAGGCGAUGAAGGACGUGUUAAGCUGCGAUAAGCUACGGGGAUUUGCACAAAAGAAUUGAUCCGUAGAUUUCCGAAUGGGGCAACCCAAUGGUUUGAAGAACCAUUACCACGAAGUGGGGCAAACCCGGAGAACUGAAACAUCUAAGUACCCGGAGGAAGAGAAAACAAAAGUGAUUCCGUAAGUAGUGGCGAGCGAACGCGGACUAGCCCAAACCGUUGUUGUUACGGCAAUGACGGGGUUGUAGGACGUUUUUUUAGAAAGGAUUUUAAUUUGAAUGAGUUGGGAAGCUCAGCCGUAGAAGGUGAUAGCCCUGUAAGAGUACAUAAUCUGGACGUAGACGAAUCCUGAGUAGGGGGGAGCUGGUGAAACUCCCUUUGAAUCAGCCGGCACCAUCCGGUAAGGCUAAAUACUAACAAGAGACCGAUAGUGAACGAGUACUGUGAAGGAAAGGUGAAAAGUACCCCGAAUAGGGGGGUGAAAAGACCCUGAAACCAUACACUUACAAGCGGUCGGAGCAGCGCGAUGCUGUGACGGCGUGCCUUUUGCAUAAUGACCCUACGAGUUACUCUUCCUGGCAAGAUUAAGGAUUGCAGAUCUGGAGUCGGAGCGAAAGCGAGUCUGAAAAGGGCGUUUAGUCAGGGGGAGUAGACGCGAAACCUUGUGAUCUACCCAUGGCCAGGUUGAAGGUGUGGUAACACACACUGGAGGACCGAACGAGUUUACGUUGAAAAGUAUUUCGAUGAGCUGUGGGUAGGGGUGAAAGGCUAAUCAAACUGGGAAAUAGCUCGUACUCCCCGAAAUGUUUUUAGGAACAGCGUCGUGGUUGAGUUUCAUGCAGGUAAAGCUACCAAUAGGACUAGGGGGAGUCAAAUCCUACCAAAUCCUGAUGAACUCUGAAUGGCAUGAAAUAUACACGGCAGUGAGGGCCGGGGUGCUAAGGUCACGGUCCGAGAGGGAAAGAACCCAGACCAACAGUUAAGGUCCCAAAAUCUAUACUAAGUUGAACAAAGGAGGUCUGAUUGCAGAGACAGCCAGGAUGUUAGCUUGGAAGCAGCUAUUCAUUUAAAGAGUGCGUAACAGCUCACUGGUCGAGCGAGGCGGGCAUCGAUAAUAAACGGGCAUCAAGUAUAGUACCGAAGCUUUGGAUUAUGUAGCGAUACAUACUGGUAGGGGAGCAUUCUGAUAGCGAUGAAGGUGAAUCGACAAGGUUUGCUGGAGUGAUCAGAAAAGCAAAUGUAGGGAUAAGUAACGAUAAUGGGGGCGAGAAACCCCCACGCCGAAAAGUCAAGGAUUCCUCAGCUAUGCUAAUCAACUGAGGGUUAGUCGGGGGCUAAGGGUCUAGCGAGAGCGACAAUCUAAUGCACAUCAGGUUAAUAUUCCUGAACUUACUAUUAGGGAAACACGAUGACGGAGAUUCGUGGUUGGCAGGUACUGACGGAAUAGUGCCUCUGAGUGGAAGCCGCAAGGCAGAUGCGAGUCAGCGAAGAAACUUCCAAGAAAAGUUGUGGAUCAUAACUUAAUAGUAACCCGUACCGUAAACCGACACAGGUGACUGGGAAGAAUAUUCUAAGGCGCUCGAGUGAAUCACGGCUAAGGAACUCGGCAAAUUAACCCUGUAACUUCGGGAUAAAGGGAGCCUACUCAGCGAUGAGAGGCCGCAGAGAAUUGGUCCAGGCGACUGUUUAACAAAAACACAUGGCUUUGCAAAAACGAAAGUUGACGUAUAAGGCCUGACACCUGCCCGGUGCUGGAAGGUUAAGAGGGGAUGUUAGGGCAACCGAAGCAUUGAAUCGAAGCCCCAGUAAACGGCGGCCGUAACUAUAACGGUCCUAAGGUAGCGAAAUUCCUUGUCGGGUAAGUUCCGACCUGCACGAAUGGUGUAACGAUCUGGACACUGUCUCAGCCGUGAGCUCGGUGAAAUUGUAGUAACGGUGAAGAUGCCGUUUACCCGCAACGGGACGGAAAGACCCCAUGAACCUUUACUAUAGCUUAGCAUUGAGUUCUGGUACUGGAUGUGUAGGAUAGGUGGGAGACUGUGAGAUGGUGUCGCUAGGCAUCAUGGAGUCAACGUUGAAAUACCACCCUUCUUGUACUG